GACGAACGCUGGCGGCGUGCCUAAUACAUGCAAGUAGAACGCUGAAGGAGGAGCUUGCUUCUCUGGAUGAGUUGCGAACGGGUGAGUAACGCGUAGGUAACCUGCCUGGUAGCGGGGGAUAACUAUUGGAAACGAUAGCUAAUACCGCAUAACAGUAGAUAUCGCAUGAUAUCUACUUGAAAGGUGCAAUUGCAUCACUACCAGAUGGACCUGCGUUGUAUUAGCUAGUUGGUGAGGUAACGGCUCACCAAGGCGACGAUACAUAGCCGACCUGAGAGGGUGAUCGGCCACACUGGGACUGAGACACGGCCCAGACUCCUACGGGAGGCAGCAGGAGGGAAUCUUCGGCAAUGGACGGAAGUCUGACCGAGCAACGCCGCGUGAGUGAAGAAGGGUUUCGGAUCGUAAAGCUCUGUUGUAAGAGAAGAACGAGUGUGAGAGUGGAAAGUUCACACUGUGACGGUAUCUUACCAGAAAGGGACGGCUAACUACGUG
rnacentral:rRNA from 1 species